GAUGAACGCUAGCUACAGGCUUAACACAUGCAAGUCGAGGGGCAGCAUGACGGAAGCUUGCUUCCGUUGAUGGCGACCGGCGCACGGGUGAGUAACGCGUAUCCAACCUGCCCUUGUCCAUCGGAUAACCCGUCGAAAGGCGGACUAACACGAUAUGACGUUCACAGCAGGCAUCUAACGUGAACGAAAUGCGAAGGAGAAGGAUGGGGAUGCGGCUAAUUAGCUUGUUGGCGGGGUAACGCCCCACCAAGGCGACGUUCAGUAGGGGUUCUGGAAGGAAGGUCCCCCACAUUGGAACUGAGACACGGUCCAAACUCCUACGGGAGGCAGCAGUGAGGAUGAUUGGUCAAUGGCCGAGAGCCUGAACCAGCCAAGUAGCGUGCAGGAAGACGGCCCGAUGGGUUGUAAACUGCUUUUAUACGGGGAUAAAGUGGGCAACGUGUGGCUUAUUGCGGUACCGUAUGAAUAAGGACCGGCUAAUUCCGUGCCAGCAGCAGCCGCGGUAA
rnacentral:rRNA from 1 species